ACACGCAAGUCCACUGGGCUUCUUUAAAAUAAUUAAAUUGAGUGUUUACUUGGUUAUUAUAAUCUUUGCAACCACUGAAAUGUUUAGAUGUUAAUCUGAUAUUAGAGUCAUCACCAGACCAAAAAUGGUCAUUUGAUAAUGUAAAUGUGAAAUCUGGUUUCAAUGAGAAUAUUUUUACUGUCAUGGUAUAAAUAUUUGAGUGACAUUUUAAGCCUAACUCUCAGGCCACAAAAUGUUUCUUCACAUUAAAAAAAAAAAAAAUGAGAAUGGACAAUUAUGAGUAUGCUCCCCAACCCUCACCCUCUGGGUUUUCCUCUUGUGUCAACUCUUUCCUAUCUGUAUCUGAUAACUAAGUACCAUGCUUGAUUUUUAAGGGAUAAAGAAACUCAAGCUGUACUUAAACCCAGAUCUUUGGAAUAUUACAUGAAGGGAGCAAAUCUUCAACUCCAUGACUACAUCACCAACAUUUACAAGGAUACACUUAGAGGGGGCAGAGUUCAUGUUCAGCUGUACUUCCUAAAUGAAUUAACUCAUCUUUCACAGAAAAAUCAGUCUGACUCUUUAGAAGGUUGUAGAGCACUUUAUUUUUAAUUGUAUUCACUGAUUUAAUCAUUUGAACUAUUAUUCCUGCAACAGAAAAGGUAAUUUACUCAAUGACGCUGAAGUGUUGUGAUGGGAUACAGCUUCCUUCACACUGCAUAGGAAGGAAAUCUCUACUAUCUGCACAGCCUACCCGUGGUCUUCUCCCACAUGAUGUCCUGGGUCGGUGGGCAUUGCCCAUCAGCAGGACUCUUCCCAUCACAGAGGCAUUGUGUGGUGGCCUGCUGACUUCCCCCAGUGACUCAGACGUUGGCUCAUUUACUUGUUUAUAUAUUUGAAAUUUUCAUGAUCAGCUUACUUGACCAGUAACCUUUCCAUAGCCUAUUCUAGAACUAAAAAGAGAUGAAAUAAAUGGAAAAAAAAUGCAUAGCCCCUAACAAUUCCCUUCUGACUUAAUUUCCUUUAUGAGCAUUUAAUGGCACCCAAUAAGGGAGAAAUCUAUCCAGAAAAAAAUAAAAAUAAAUUUAUAAUAAAACAAACAGAAGAUAACAUGCAAAAUCCAAUUUCUUCAAAUUCAUUAAAAUGCAAAUAAUUAUUUUUUGAGAUAAAGGAAUGGAAAAUAACUAAAGACAAAGACGAAAGUUCUCCCUGAGGAAGGAGUAGAGACAGCAGCUGACUCACCAUCUCUCUGAUCUAGACUUGCAAACCCAAGGCCAUGGCUGCUGGGAGCUCCGAGGAGCCACCGAAGGACCCCAGGCAAGGCAGAGGCCAGCAAAGCAUCACAUUGUCUACAGAGAAAAGCCACUCGUGCAGCUGAGCACUCUGGGAGAAGCUCUCCUCUCUCUUCUUCCUGACAUCUCUCCUUUCUUUUUUGGUUGCCAGGCUAGAACUUGCACCAUCUUGGUCAUUAGCACAUUAGCCCUUGUCUAACAACAGGCUGAUACAGAAAAUAAAGGCCCUGGUUCCCAGCCUUUGCUAUUGCCCUAGUGUAACUGUUCCAAACAUGGCCAAGUCAAAGUCCUCCCUGUGAUGUCCUGAACGGGGGCUGGGAAGGCAUGCAGUCACCCACCACAGAGCACUUCCACCACGUACACAGAAGACAUGUAAACAGCCUGAAGAGCAGGAGUAACUGCAAGAUAGCACAAAAGAGGUGAGUUAGUAAGAGGUGAGUUUUGAUAAUUGAUCACCUGUGUAUUUUUUGAGGAGGGUAGUUACUGGGGAUUGAACUCAGGGGCACUCAACCACUGAGCACAUUCCCAGCCCUAUUUUGUAUUUUAUUUAGAGACAGGAUCUCACUGAGUUGCUUAGUCCUCUCUUUUGCUGAGGCUGGAUCAAACCCAGUGCCUCAUGCUUGCUAGGGCUAGGCAAGCUCUCUACCACUGAGCCCCAGCCCCAGCCCCCAUGGGGUCUUAACAAUAAUUUGACUGACUAUAAAUAGUCUGGCUGAUUAUAAAUAGUUUGACUAUAAAUUACAAAGUUAUCUCCCCUUAUUACUUACUGUUUCUGCAUUUCUUUUUGCUUCUGGUAUCACUGCCCUGCUGAUGUCAAAGUAGCUUUUAUUCCUUCCACAGCAAAUCGGUUCAUAUCACUAUCUUUGGUGGUUUAAAAUGUGACCUUGACGUUUCUAGGUGUGUUUUUUGUUUGUUGGGUGGUUUUUUUUUUUUUUUCCUUUUCAUUUAUCUAUCUCAGUAUAACAAAAGCUUCUAUAAUUAGAACACAUUAUGUUUUACUAGUAUUAGAAAGUUUUUCUGUUCUUUGCAAAUUUAUGGAACUGACUUUAUGGACAAAGAAGGAUGUAAAUAUUCCAUAAAUAAUUGAGGCUGCAUAAUAUUUUUCAAUUGUUAUAUAUAAGCCACAAAAAUCAAACUGGGAAAUAGUUUAUUAAAAUCUCCUCUAUAUUUAUCCUUUCAUUUUAAUUGUUUCCUAUGUAUCCAUUUUAACCAAUUAUUUUCCUUCUGCUCUCUUCCUUCUUCUUUGAGUUGACUUUAAUCUCCCACUCUAUUUUUUCUUUUAUUAGUUGGAAUCUCUCCAUCUUUUACCACUCCUUUGGCCAUCCUCCUUGAUAUAUUAUGCUGAUUCUGCCUAACAACUAACCAAAGCAUAAAAUUAAACAAAUUUCAACUCUCUUCACCAAAUAAUGUAGAAACCAAGAAUGCUUUAAUUCUGACUUCCUUUCCACCUUUAUUCCCAGUUAUUCACUUAGUCUUGCCUUCUUUGCUUUAAUACCACCAACUACACAGACAUGUUGUUUAUACACCUUUGCUAUUAUUUCAACUCUGCAAUUAGUUUCAGGAGCAUCAUUUGUGUAACAACUUCGGGAUUCUAACUACUCACACCUGCCCCUAUAAUGGCUUCCUUUCUGCCCCUCCCCCUCCGUCCAUUAGAAGGGUUGGUGGUCUGGCAUCCUCUUAAGUCUUAAAGAUUUUACUUUUCUGUGAAUGACUACCUUCCCACUACUCUUGGAAGCUAAAUCUAUCACCCUUGGUGUUUAUUCCCUCUCAGAACUCUGAGAGCUCAUGGGGCUGAGUGUUUCACUGUUUGCUAACUCUACCUUGGGCUGCUUUCUACAGCUUCUCUGUACUUCUGGUGUUGGACCUUUCCCCUAUGGUGGUGUUGGUGGUCUGAACUGGUUUCUUUUUAUUCCUAGGCAUUUCAAACUCUUCUGGACUCUCAAGAUUGGUGACCUGCUUGAAUGAUGAGAAUCCUUAUAAAUCGUCC
rnacentral:lncRNA from 1 species